rnacentral:rRNA from 1 species
GUGGGGAAUAUUGGACAAUGGGCGCAAGCCUGAUCCAGCCAUGCCGCGUGCAGGAAGACGCAUCUAUGGUGUGUAAACUGCUUUUGUACGGGAAGAAACACUCCCUCGUGAGGGAGCUUGACGGUACCGUAAGAAUAAGGAUCGGCUAACUCCGUGCCAGCAGCCGCGGUAAUACGGAGGAUCCAAGCGUUAUCAGGAAUCAUUGGGUUUAAAGGGUCCGUAGGCGGUUUAAUAAGUCAGUGGUGAAAGCCCAUCGCUCAACGAUGGAACGGCCAUUGAUACUGUUAGACUUGAAUUACAAGGAAGUAACUAGAAUAUGUAGUGUAGCGGUGAAAUGCUUAGAUAUUACAUGGAAUACCAAUUGCGAAGGCAGGUUACUACUUGUGGAUUGACGCUGAUGGACGAAAGCGUGGGGAGCGAACAGGAUUAGAUACCCUGGUAGUCC